rnacentral:rRNA from 1 species
UACGGAGGGUGCAAGCGUUAUCCGGAUUCACUGGGUUUAAAGGGUGCGUAGGUGGCGCUGUAAGUCGGGUGUGAAAUUUCGGAGCUUAACUCCGAAACUGCAUUCGAUACUGCGGUGCUUGAGGACUGGAGAGGAGACUGGAAUUCAUGGUGUAGCAGUGAAAUGCGUAGAGAUCAUGAGGAAGACCAGUGGCGAAGGCGGGUCUCUGGGCAGUAACUGACGCUGAGGAGCGAAAGCGUGGGGAGCGAACAGG